GACGAACGCUGGCGGCGUGCUUAACACAUGCAAGUCGAACGGAAAGGCCCUGCUUUUGUGGGGUGCUCGAGUGGCGAACGGGUGAGUAACACGUGAGUAACCUGCCCUUGACUUUGGGAUAACUUCAGGAAACUGGGGCUAAUACCGGAUAGGAGCUCCUGCUGCAUGGGGGGGGUUGGAAAGUUUCGGCGGUUGGGGAUGGACUCGCGGCUUAUCAGCUUGUUGGUGGGGUAGUGGCUUACCAAGGCUUUGACGGGUAGCCGGCCUGAGAGGGUGACCGGCCACAUGGGGACUGAGAUACGGCCCAGACUCCUACGGGCGGCAGCAGUGGGGAAUAUUGCACAGUGGGCGGAAGCCUGAUGCAGCAACGCCGCGUGCGGGAUGAAGGCCUUCGGGUUGUAAACCGCUUUCGCCUGUGACGAAGCGUGAGUGACGGUAAUGGGUAAAGAAGCACCGGCUAACUACGUG
rnacentral:rRNA from 1 species